rnacentral:ncRNA from 1 species
UUUGUAAUGGCUGGACCAACAGGCUGUUAUUCUUCAACGUCACUUCACCGCUGGCAUGAGUAAUGCGGUUCUCUUCCAAGGGGAUAUCAAGGUGUAAGCGCCCACUAACUUUACCGCCCACCUGCAACUGUUCAAGUGUCUCAGCCACCGAAUCAUUGAGUGGUGUCUUGGUAAAGUAGUCAUGAACAUCACGCCCUUCGCCAGCCACUUCGGCAUCGACAUACAGUUUCUCUUUCAGAUAAUCCGGAAUGAUGGCGCUGAUAUUGCUGCCGGUGACCUUGCCCAACAUGGCAUGAGGCGCAUUCAUCCACAGACCUUCAUUGAGGAAAUCGAGGUCGAUAGCUAAAUUCUCUAAUGCAGGCCAAUCUGGCUGGAAUGCGAAAGUCGCGUUA